UAUAUCAACCCAUGUACAUCAAUUUGAGAUUAAACUAGUAGUAGACAUUUCAAGUUUUCAACCAUGCCUAAGGGCCUAUAUAUACAUAAUCAAGUCUUCCACAUUCUCAGCAUCCUCUUCAAGCUCCUCACCACAACGCCUCACCCUUUCUUCCCCUUUCCCCUCUGUAUUUUCCUCAUCUUCUGGGUGACAGUGCCUCUCCCUCAUUCUAUCUUCUUCCUCAUACACAAACCAAUGUAUAGUUUUAGUGUUGUCCAAUCUCUUCCUCUUGUUGAGUUUUGUUGCAAAUCUGCAUAUCUGCAAAGAAACCAUUUCUUCUCCUUCUCAAUUUGUUCUUAUUGUGCUUGCAAGCCUGGACCUGCAACUCUUUUCUCCUUUCAGUUUGGGAUGUAGGUUUCUUACAAAUAAGGAUUUGUUCCUAACCACAUGCUUUUCUACCCAUAUAGAAAAUAGGAGCAUAAUCCUAAAUCACACUUGAUUAACCCAUACCCGAAAAACACGAUGAAGAUCUAGAGCGGAAGCGUACCUGAAUGAGCCAUGAGAAUCGCUGAAGGAUCUGGGGUUGUGAUCUUCCAAUUGUAGAUCACCCUUAGGGUUUCCUGAUGUUCUCCCCUGAUGGGGAUGAGGAGAAACUUUUUUUACGUUGUUACGUUGUGUCUACAAUUGGGGACCAUAACCCUAUAAGUAACUGCAUCAGUUACAAUUCUGUUUUCAAUAUUUCUAAUUUGGCCCCUCAUCAAAUUAGAAUAUUGCCUUAUGGUAUCUGCACAAUACCUUUUCAUAACACAUAUGCCCUUAGCCAUAAGAUCAAUAUUAAAUAGACCACUUUAGUUUGGCUAAUUAAAUAACGGCCCUAACACAAUUAAAAGUUAUAUUUGUGACCCAAAAUUCUAACAAUCUCCCACUGGUCACAUAUGUAACUUUACACACGUGUUAGACUUUAUGAGCUCAAAAAUUUGCCAUUAUAUACCUUAAGCAUAUCCAAAUAAUCUCGUCCAUUAGUCAUGCCAGUACAUAGAACCAAAGCGAUUUUCGUUAUAUCAAUCAUAACUAAACCCAUCAAUGAUUACUAGUACUGACAUAACUAAAUGACAUAGAUUCAUUAUGAAAUGUGCAGCAUGAAAAUCACAAGAAGGUGGCCUGUACUUGUCAAUUUUCAACUGGUCCUACUUUACUUUAGUGA